rnacentral:piRNA from 1 species
UCAUAUUGCUGUACCGGAGACCCGUUA